CGAAAACCUAUACCAAAGAGGUGCGUCUAUUUUGAUGAAAUGGAUAUACAAAUAUGCUGCCACGUCCGCAGAUUGGGUAUAUUCAGGGAAAUACGUACCACCAUCUAAAAGGCAAAAGUUGGCAGAGGAACAAUCCGAGGUCAAUGGUAAUGUAGUAGAGAUGCAAAGUUUAACUGAAAUAGAUGGCAGAUUUACGGUGGCAACCAAGAGUGACAGAAUAGCAACAAAAUUUGUGCCUUUACAUUAGUAUAACUAG